UGAAGUUUGAAUCUAAAUCAGUCAAAUCAGACUCAUCCCUUCAAUUAAAAUGAGGGAGGUCAUUUAAGAUCAAACACAGAGCUGAAAUAGCCUCUCACUGUUACCAAGAAGACCACAGGGUGCCGAACCUGCCAGGUGUUUUUCUUAAUUAGUUAAUUGGUUGCAUCUGGUGCGUUUCACUUAAAAGGGAACCGGACACUACAUGUGUUUGUACUGUCUCUUCCAGUUUCAUAGGUUAAAGACUUUUUGAAGUAAAGAGGAGCAUCUCAUCUGAACCUGAUGUCUAUCUUGGAUAUUUAACUGCAGUUCUGUGAGUAUCCCAACUUAACCAUGAAGAUGAACUGCAAACUGUAAGUCAUUAAUUUGUCAUUACUCUUGGGCACAUUGAUGUAUUUUGGCUUCCUGGUGGGUUAACCUGUUACCUGAAGGUUGAUCUGAGUAGUAAGGAUGUUUUAUUGGUUCAUGGGUUACUUAGGUGUUUGGUUUAUGUUGGUUUUAAUGAUUUGUUAAAAUGGUUACAGGCUCCAAGUUAUUGUUGUAAGAUGGAGUAAUGGGUUUGGUUCUGAUAUCUUUAGUCUUCUUUCAUUCUACUCUCCUGAGCUCUGCAUCUUCAUCACAUGAGUGUUGCUCUACUGUGAGGGUGUGGUCUGAGUGAGCAGAGGUGCAUACUGGGAUACAGAGCUGUCUCGAGUCUACAGGUCUGUAGACACGCCCCUUCAGGGGAAACCGAGUUUUUGAGAAACCGUCGUGACGUUAGUUACAUGGACUGGAAUGUUCUUAAAGAUGGAGACAGGGAUUCAGAAGGAGAAACACCAGGGGGAGAUGAGGGGCUCCUCAUCUCAACGACUAAAACACAACUUCAGUCUGACACAAAGAACCAUGGAACACAUUCAACAGUCCCCUCCAGGCAUCGUGACUCCUCAGGAACAGUUUCAUUUCCAAGAAGGUCUUAUUUGGGGCCAUCCCCAUAUGGAUCCUGCUCCUCAAGAGCCAACCCCCUCCACUGGGUGGUCUUCUGAACAGAUGACCUCCUUCCUGUCCUCAGGCUGACUAAAGCUGCACCGUUUGCAUCUGUGAAGGCCCCUCAUUCAGGAAACCACUGGACUACAAAGACGUGACUACAGAGACGUUGAAUCAACCUGGGACAUCAACCUGAGACGCCAAGCAUAAUCCAUCACCAAUGUGGGACGCCACUGAAGAAUGUUGUACAUAAUUUACGUCUCUGGAGACAUUGGUUGUUCUGUUCUGGGUGCCCUGGCAGGAGAGCUGGGGGUGGAUGAUGGAAUGGUAUUUGCUAUGAGGUUUUUACCCUGCAUGAUUGUUUGGCCUUUUAUGGCUCAGUGGUGUGUGUGUGUGUGUGUGUGUGUUUGACAUGAGAUGGAAGAUUUUUGAGCAUCUCUAGGGUUCUACUGUGUGUGUGUGUGUGUGUGUGUGUGUGUGUGUGUGUGUGUCACUCCCUGGCAUGGGGUUCUACGUGCCUGUCCUGGGUUCUAUGUGUGUGUGUGUCCGGCUUGCUUUGACAGUGAUAAUGUUCAUACGGGGGUCUGUGUGAUUGGCUUGGGAUAUUGGAAUGGUCAACUAAAUCAUACCUGAUGGACGGCCACACGUUUACUUAAGGGCCUCCAGUAGACAUGAAGAGCCCUGAGCGACGCUCCGGAGUGAGAUCCAACACACUGGGCAGGAAGGAGAGUGUCCAACUCAAGUGUAAAAGGAUGCAAGCGGCGUGUUCAGAUCAGUGACUUCAAACUAGGACUACACCAAUCAGGAUCAAUGGAGGAUGGACACCUAAAGGAAUUCCACAAGGAGAGUGACGUUGGAAAGGGACCUAAAUGGAUGUUCAAGAUGACCUUCAGACCUGUAAUGAGACGGCUCUUCCUACCUGGCUGGAUUGAUGGAGAGCCCUGUGGAUCUUGUCUUGCUCUCAGUUGCACUUCUUCUCAGGCUGAACUGUAUUUGUUUCGGACAGGACUAGCUGAACGAUUGGUUCCCUUUUAACCAGAACCAAUCCGGGAACUCCAGCUAGUGCGCUCUUCGAGCUGAAGUUGUGCUCUUCAGCUGAGGAGGUAAGGAAACCUUCACUGGGGCUUCAAGGUGUAAAGAGGAGAAUGUUUCAAAGUGUUCUAUGGUACUCUGAUGAAGACCGUUGUGUUCCACUGGCUGCGAGGAAGAACCCUCACAUCUUCCUCUUGGCCUUUCUCCUCUGAGAAUCCUGGCGCCAUCUUGAAGGAUAUUCCAGCUCAUGUAACUGAUGUCACGACAGAUUCUCAAACACUUGGUUUCUCCUGAGGGGCGCGUCUAUGGAACUGAAGACUUCCGACAGCACUGUAUCCCAGCAUGCAUCUCUGCUCACUCAGACCACACCCCCAUGAGUAGGAUGCAACACUCUAGUGAUGGAGUUGUAGAGUUUUAUAAGUAACUAGGGAGCAGACUAAGGUGAUUGGAACCCAAUGGAAUGUCAAGUCUGUAUAUUUUUAAGCCAUGAAGAUGGUUGGAUAGUUCAGGAAUUGGGCUUCUUUUUAUUAUUGGCAGUCCUUUCACUCAGAUGCCCACUUCUCACUGGAGCUGUACAUGUGAUGGCUGGCAUGAUUCGCUGUUGGUGAUGAGGCGGUCAGGGUGACGUUGCAGGGCUAUGGUCGGCUCUCUGUGAGCUCAACGUUUAGAUUUGCUCUGUAUGGUUUGUACCCUGAAUAAUCUAGAUAAUUGUAAAAUGUAGACACGGUUUUGUAUUGAAUGAUUCCCGGUUUUUAGGUUUAAGGUUGUUGUGGGACGUACAUGGUAGUUUGGUUCUUCGUAUGGUUUUGAGUGAUAUAACUUGUACACACCGGGUGCAUAAUAAUGUAAAGGUACACUGAAUAGUAUUAAUGACCAACAGCAACAAACAGAUCUCCUCAAGGUAAGUCUGUUGGCUGUGUUCUAAUGAAGACCAUCGCUGGACUUCAGGAUCUUCCUCCGUUCAGCUCAAGGUGAGGCGCUGGUUCUGUUUUUUCUUUGGUUGGUUCCGGCCGGAAUGUUCGUAUUCCAGUCGGACGGUUUGUGCUUCCCGCCGUGGAAGGUUCUGAGUGCGGUCACUUGAUUUAGUCCCAAUGGUUAGCAUAGAACGUUGUAGUCUUGACAACCAUAAUAAACCACCUGGCAGUUAGUUUGACGGGAGUCCCCUGAGGGAAUCUGGCGGAACGUUCUUGAUUGUAUUUGCGUAACCUCGAGGCGUUGCCAAUGGAAACAAUUUUUUCAGUCGGUUUCCAUUGGGAAUUGUUGCCCCUAUCUUAAACAACUAAAGUUUGAUAUUAAAUACAUACUGAGACGUACGUCGUACAAUACGUUGAUAAUUUCCGAUGGUUGCGCCGUACUUUUAACCACGAUGACGUUGCGGGACUCUCUGCGUUCAAAACGGCGUUCUACUUGCGGGCCCAUUUUUGACAUCAGUGAAGGCUGAAAAUCAUUUCAAGGUGGAAGAUAAUUUGACAUUUCUUCAACGGAACCCAGCACCUGAAUAUGGCUGAGUAUAUUUGAUUUAAUAUCGAUACUGCUUAGUGUUCUUUGUUACUUCAGCUUUCGUACGUUCUAAAUAUCUGGUGUCAAUAAUUGCCACAGAAGUUAAACCCUACCCAAUGGAAUGACGUUAAACAACGACUUUGGUGCAGAGUUACCAACUGGAUAAUAUCAAAGCUAAAAUAAUGGCCGUCAUUCCCACAUGUUACAGUAGAAGAUACUCUAGAACUGUACAAGGUUAAAAAGGUAAAGUGUAGUUUGUCCCAAGGUGUCUGCCUCCUCACCCAGAGCCAGACCUCCACCUCCUCACCCAGAGCCAGACCUCCACCUCCUCACCCAGAGCCAGACCUCCACCUCCUCACCCAGAGCCAGACCUCCACCUCCUCACCCAGAGCCAGACCUCCACCUCCUCACCCAGAGCCAGACCUCCACCUCCUCACCCAGAGCCAGACCUCCACCUCCGGUCAGAAGUCCUCCAGAACAGCUGAAAGGCGAGGCUGAGAGGCUGGGGACCAGAGGCUUGUGGUGCCAGGAUGGACCCGAGACUGAGGCUGGAGACCAGGGGCCUGCAGCACCGGACCAGAGGGUAUAUAUACCAGACGACUACAUCUGUUUUACCACAUGUUGAAGCAAGACUUCCGCUGUUUGUUCCAGACCAGGACUCUGUCUGAGGAGAGCUGCUGGAGGAGCUGAGACGCUGGAGGACGACUAGGAAUCGACCAACAAGGAUUCCUCAACGUGUUUCUGGAGCGGAGGCGAGCUGAUUGGGGAGCCGUGAAUCUGGAGGAUGACCAUCAUUCUACCAAACAGGACCAGGACUCUGGCUGAGGAGAGCUGAUGGAGGAGCCAAGACUCUGGAGGACGACAUCACUCCACCAACCAGGAUCCUUACCAGGAAUCUGGAGGACUGAUGGAGAAGCCGUACAUCUGGAAGGCAAAUCCUGAGGACCACCAGGACUCUACCAUCAAGGAUUCCUCAUAAAUGUGCAGUAUCUGGACAUAGUGGACUAGACACAGCUGAGCUGAACCUCACCUGAUCCUGUUUGGUCGGGGGUAGACAGACCUGAGCUAAACCCGCCCUGAUCCUGACAUCCUGCUGGUCCCGUCUCCUCAGUUCAUCUGAGCCUCGUCCUCCAGAAGACCUGCUGAGCUCAGCAGUCUGAGGCUGAUGGAUCAAUGACCUCCAGUGGGAGUGUUCUUCUUGACCCCACAAGUAACCGUGUGCUUCCACACGCCUUUCCCUCACGUCUGUCACUAACCUCACUACUUCACUACUCUCUACUGCUUCCUCUUUUUUUUCCUUCUGUGGUUCGAACCUUUACACGGAAGGCGCGUCUUCCUGCCCUCAGAGGGUUUAGCGUUAGGGUUGAGUGUCAGGGUUUAGAGUCAGGGACAGAGCUGGUCAGGGAGGACUGCUUUUACAAAAACCUCUUCACUUGCUUUCGGAAUGGUGGUGACAUUUUGAAAAGAUUAAUUUGGGAAAAUGUUUUCCUCUGCUUUCCUUUACAAAAUUGUAUCAAACUUAUGUCAAGUGUUUUUGUUUAUAUAUUAAAAUCCCACAUUGACUUCUACAUGUUUGUUACGGUUCAUUUAAUUGUCCUUUAACUUGGUUAUGUCAAGCUAAACUCCCGCAAUACAUUUAAUAUACAUGAUUGUUAUUCUGCAAUGUUCACAUAAUCCAUUUUGUAAAAAUAUGAAACCUCCAUAUUACUACUAAAUUCAGGCCUAUUAAUGUAUUUAACAGACCUGCAAACUCCUCAGAGGAAAAAAGGUGACAGUGUCACGGGG
ensembl:lncRNA